AUUGAACGCUGGCGGCAUGCUUUACACAUGCAAGUCGAACGGUAACAGGCCUUCGGGUGCUGACGAGUGGCGAACGGGUGAGUAAUGCAUCGGAACGUGCCCAAUCGUGGGGGAUAACGUAGCGAAAGUUACGCUAAUACCGCAUAAGCCCUGAGGGGGAAAGCAGGGGAUCGCAAGACCUUGCGCGAAUGGAGCGGCCGAUGUCAGAUUAGCUAGUUGGUGGGGUAAAGGCCUACCAAGGCGACGAUCUGUAGCGGGUCUGAGAGGAUGAUCCGCCACACUGGGACUGAGACACGGCCCAGACUCCUACGGGAGGCAGCAGUGGGGAAUUUUGGACAAUGGGCGCAAGGCCUGAUCCAGCCAUGCCGCGUGCGGGACGAAGG
rnacentral:rRNA from 1 species